AUGGCUACGCUCUCCAUGCCCAUCUCUUGGACAAUCUAGAAUGAAAGGAAUGCUCGCAUAUUACAACUCAGGAGUGCCCCGCCGAUGGUUCUACUUGCUAACAUCAAUAUUGAGGCCCAAACUUGGGUCACCGCCGGUGCAAAUAAAUUGGGAUCCAUCAUGCCAGGAGAGUAG
rnacentral:rRNA from 1 species